GUGUGUCACUGACUUGUGUAGGGAUCAGAGGGCAACGUGCCUCCUGUGAUUGAUGGCAAGGUCUUAUGUCAUGGUUGAGAAAUCAAUAGCAAAAAGCAAGUACUUCAGUAAACAGUAAGUCAAGAACAGCGUCUAAUUCUGCUCUGCAAAGUUCCCAGCACUCUAGAGAAACUAUACGAA